rnacentral:lncRNA from 12 species
CUUUUUCUUUGUUUUCCUUCUUUUUCUUUUUUCUCAUUCCAACAUUUUUUCUAUUCCACCUUUUUCUACUUUCUCGUUCCCUCAUUCUUUCUAUUCCUUCAUUCUUUCUAUUCCUUCUUUUUCUAUUAUCUCUUUCCCUCAUUCUUUCUAUUGUUUCAUUUUCUAUUUUCUCAUUCCCUCGCUCUUUCUAUUCUUCCUUUUUUAUUUCCUCGUUCCCUUGUUCUUUCUAUUCUUCCUUUUUAUGUUUUCUUGUUCCCUCCUUAUUUCUAUUCCUUUUUUCUAUUUUCUCGUUCCCACAUUCUUUCUAUUAUUUUCUUUUCUUUUUUCUCGUUCCUUCUUUCUUUUCCUCCUUUUAUCUCUUUCCUGUUCCCUAGUACUUUUUAGUCCUUUUCUAUUCUAUCAUUCCCUCAUUCUUUCUAAUCUUUCUUUUUCUCUUUUCUCGUUCCCUCGUUCCUUUACAUUCUUUCUUUUUCUAUUUAUUCAUUUCCUCAUUCUUUCUAUUCCUCUUUUUGUUUUUUUCUUGUUCCCUCGUUCCUUCCAUUCUGUCUUUCUCUGCUUAUUCGUUUCCUCGUUCUUUCUAUUCUUUCAUUCUCUAUUUUCUCGUUCCAUGGUUCUUUCAAUCCCUCCUUUUUUUGUUUUCUCGUUCCCUUGUUCUUUCUUUUCCUCCUUAUUAUGUAUUCUCGUUCCCUUGUUCGUUCUAUUCUUUCAUUUUCUAUUUUCUCGUUCCCUUGUUCUUUCUCUUCAUUCUUUUUAUGUUUUCUCCUUCCCUCAUCCAUUCUAUUCCUCCUUUUUUUGUAUUCUCGUUCCCUUCUUCUUUCAAUUCCUUCUUCUUAUAUUUUCUCGUUCCCUUGUUCUUUCUAUUCUUUUAUUUUCUACUUUCUUGUUCUCUCGUUCUUUGUAUUCUUCCUUUUUCUAUUUUCUCGUUCCCUCGUAGUUUCUAUUCUUUCAUUUUCUAUUUUCUCUUUCCCUCGUUCUUUCUAUUCCUCCUUUUCUACUUCCUCGUUCGCUUGUUCCUUCUAUUCCUCCUUUUUAUGUUUUCUCGCUCCCUCAAUUUUUCUAUUCCCUUUUUUGUUUGUUUCUUGUUCCCUCAUUCUUUCUAUUCUUUGUUUUUCUUUUUUCUCAUUGCCGUGUCCUUUCUAUUCUUCCUUUUUCUAUUUUCUCAUUCCCUCAUUCUUUCCAUUCUUCUUUUUUUUUUCCUCGUUCCUUUGUUCUUUUGUUCUCUGGUGCUCUGCUGCUUCUUUUGUCGCGUUUUGUAUAAUGAGGCGAUUUCUCAGCAACUGAGGUGAAGUCUCGUCUACUCCUCACGCAAUACGCUGUGCUGCAAGGUUUGCUACUGCCAAAACACGACUGGCAUGUGCACUUUUCUUCUAAACCCUCUCUACAGUACCAUAUUCCGCUGCUUCUUGUUGGUGUACCCUGCACUCUUUCAACCCUGCACAGCGAAGAGCACUGCAGAGUAACCUAAAGUGAAAACGUGCCCAAGACACAGUAGUUCUCACUUGCCACUGCACAUACCAAUGUCUUCACUACACUUAAGUUAUGUGCGUUAGAUGUCUG